GACGAACGCUGGCGGCGUGCCUAACACAUGCAAGUCGAACGAGGUCCAUCCUUCGGGAGAAGACCUAGUGGCGAACGGGUGAGUAACACGUGAGGAACCUGCCCCGAAGACCGGGAUAACCCUCCGAAAGGAGAGCUAAUACCGGAUACCCCCACGAACCGCAUGGUUUGGUGAGGAAAUGGAUUCCGCUUCGGGAGGGCCUCGCGGCCUAUCAGCUAGUUGGUGGGGUAACGGCCCACCAAGGCAUCGACGGGUAGCUGGUCUGAGAGGACGAUCAGCCACACUGGGACUGAGACACGGCCCAGACUCCUACGGGAGGCAGCAGUGGGGAAUCUUGCGCAAUGGGCGAAAGCCUGACGCAGCAACGCCGCGUGGGGGAUGAAGGCUCUCGGGUUGUAAACCCCUUUCAGCAGGGACGAAUCAAGACGGUACCUGCAGAAGAAGCCCCGGCUAACUACGUGCCAGCAGCCGCGGUAAU
rnacentral:rRNA from 1 species